AGACGUUACGCACGAUAUUGCGUCCCAAUUGGUAACGUCAAAAUUUGACGUUUUACGUCGGUAAUAGAGUAUACUUUGUUCGUUUUGUUUGUAAUCAUUUUUGAUCGAUAUGGAUACUUCAAAGUCUUGAAAAUGUAUGAAAUAUGUCCUACUGGUAGUUACGCAAGCAAAAAUAAACAAUACAAAAUAGGUGUUUGGUUGAGAAAAAAGUGCCUAUAGUAUAUUAUAUAAUGCGUUGGUCACCCGUUUAAAUUUAAGAAAAGAGGGAAGGGAGGAAGCAAUUCAUGUUGCUUAAAUAACAUAGUUUUUGUGUUUUGUGCUGUUAUCUUUUAUCUUUUUUUAAAUGUUGUUGGUUUUUUUUUGUGUUUUUUUUGGGGGGGAGGGGGGGGGUGUGUGUGAUGAUAAGUGAAAAGAUUUUUAAUGAAAAAGACUUCUAUUGUUUACAACGGAGUAAUUAAAUCAAGAAAGAGAAUGAUUGCGUGAAAAAUAAUUAUAUUCAUCUGAUAUGUUUACAAGCUUUGUAUAAUAUCGAGGUGUAACUCCUCAGGUACAACAAUUUUACUGCCUCCUUCAAUUUCAGCACAAAUGAACCGUAUUGCA
rnacentral:lncRNA from 1 species